GCCUUUUCCAAUUUCCUUUUGGUAUUUAACUUUAAGGAAGUGGAGGAAUAAUACACUUUAAUAUAAUUUCUCUCCUGCAGGGCUUGUAUUUAUAUUUCAUAUGAGUGUGCAGAGAUGAAGGUAUUAAUGUCCACAACCGUCAUGUAAACACAACUUAAACCCUUCUGACACACUGAGCAGCUGCGUUUUAAAAUACCCUGCUGACGGUAAACAAACACGGUUUGUUGUUCAGGUUUCUGCAAGACGACAUCAUCUAAAUGAUUUCAUGCAGGAGCAGGCGGAUUGUGUGUCUCUGUGUGGUCGUUGUGUUUCUCUUUGUGGUCGUUGUGUGUCUCUUUGUAGUCACUUUGCAUCUCUUUGUGGUCGUUUUGUGUCUCUUUGUAGUCGUUUUGUGGUCGUUGUGUUUCUCUUUGUAGUCACUUUGUGUCUCUUUGUAGUCGUUUUGUGUCUCUUUGUAGUCGUUUUGUGUCUCUUUGUGGUCGUUUUGUGUUUCUUUGAGGUCGUUGUGUCUCUUUGUGUCGUUUUGUUUCUCUUUGUAGUCACUUUGUGUCUCUUUGUAGUCGUUUUGUGUCUCUUUGUGGUCGUUUUGUGUCUCUUUGUGGUCGUUGUGUUUCUCUUUGUAGUCACUUUGUGUCUCUUUGUAGUUGUUUUGUGUCUCUUUGUGGUCGUUUUGUGUCUCUUUGUGGUCGUUGUGUUUCUCUUUGUAGUCACUUUGUGUCUCUUUGUAGUUGUUUUGUGUCUCUUUGUAGUCACUUUGUGUCUCUUUGUAGUCGUAUUGUGUUUCUUUGUGGUUGUUGUGUCUCCUCUUUGUGGUUGUUGUGUUUCUCUUUGUGGUCAUUUUGUGUCUCUUUGUGGUCGUUUUGUGUCUCUUUGUGGUCGUUUUGUGUCUCUUUGUUGUCGUUUUGUGUCUCUUUGUGGUCGUUUUGUGUCUCUUUGUGGUCGUUUUGUGUCUCUUUGUUGUCGUUUGCGUCUCUUUGUGGUUGUUUUGCAUCUCUUUGUGGUUGUUUGUAGUCUCUUUGUGGUUGUUGUGUGUCUCUUUGUGGUUGUUGUGUGUCUCUUUGUGGUUGUUUGUAGUCUCUUUGUGGUUGUUGUGUGUCUCUUUGUGGUUAUUUGUAGUCUCUUUGUGGUUGUUUGUAGUCUCUUUGUGGUCGUUUUGCGUCUCUUUGUGGUUGUUUUGUGUUUCUUUGUGUCAGUAUAGUCUUAUUUCAAUGUGUAUUUAUGUAACAAUAUUACCAUUUAAAAAAGUCCCAUCAGUUUUGUUUUGGCUUUCCUUCUCCGGAGACUUUAACAGGAAACCAGAUGAUUUGAUGAAACUUGAUUUUAG
rnacentral:lncRNA from 1 species